rnacentral:rRNA from 1 species
UAAGGAAUAUUGGACAAUGCCCGCAAGGGUGAUCCAGCCAUGCCGCGUGUGUGAAGAAGGUCUUCGGAUUGUAAAGCACUUUAAGUUGGGAGGAAGAGCAGUUACCUAAUACGUGAUUGUUUUGACGUUACCGACAGAAUAAGCACCGGCUAACUCUGUGCCAGCAGCCGCGGUAAUACAGAGGGUGCAAGCGUUAAUCGGAAUUACUGGGCGUAAAGCGCGCGUAGGUGGUUUGUUAAGUUGAAUGUGAAAUCCCCGGGCUCAACCUGGGAACUGCAUCCAAAACUGGCAAGCUAGAGUAUGGUAGAGGGUAGUGGAAUUUCCUGUGUAGCGGUGAAAUGCGUAGAUAUAGGAAGGAACACCAGUGGCGAAGGCGACUACCUGGACUGAUACUGACACUGAGGUGCGAAAGCGUGGGGAGCAAACA